rnacentral:rRNA from 1 species
UGGGGAAUAUUGGACAAUGGGGGGAACCCUGAUCCAGCCAUGCCGCGUGGGUGAAGAAGGCCUUAUGGUUGUAAAGCACUUUAAGCGAGGAGGAGGGUACUGGUAUUAAUACUACCAGGUACUGGACGUUACUCGCAGAAUAAGCACCGGCUAACUCUGUGCCAGCAGCCGCGGUAAUACAGAGGGUGCGAGCGUUACUCGGAUUUACUGGGCGUAAAGCGUGCGUAGGCGGCUAAUUGAGUCGGAUGUGAAAGCCCCGAGCUUAACUUGGGAAUUGCAUUCGAUACUGGUUAGCUAGAGUGUGGGAGAGGAUGGUAGAGUUCCAGGUGUAGCGGUGAAAUGCGUAGAGAUCUGGAGGAAUACCGAUGGCGAAGGCAGCCAUCUGGCCUAACACUGACGCUGAGGUACGAAAGCAUGGGGAGCAAACAGG